rnacentral:rRNA from 1 species
UACGAGGGGUGCAAGCGUUAUUCGGAUUUAUUGGGCGUAAAGGGUGCGUAGGUGGUAUGUUAAGUCUGUUGUUAAAUUUUCCGGCCUAACCGGAAGUGUGCAAUGGAAACUGGUGUACUAGAGAGUGGAAGAGGGAAGUGGAAUUCUCGGAGUAGCGGUAAAAUGCGUGGAUCUCGAGAGGAACACCGAUGGCGAAGGCAGCUUCCUGGUCCAUUUCUGACACUGAGGCACGAAAGCGUGGGGAGCAAAC